rnacentral:rRNA from 1 species
CUACGGGUCGCAGCAGUGGGGGAUAUUGCACAAUGGGCGAAAGCCUGAUGCAGCAACGCCGCGUGAAGGAAGACGGUUUUCGGAUUGUAAACUUCUAUCAGCAGGGAAGAAAAUGACGGUACCUGACUAAGAAGCCCCGGCUAACUACGUGCCAGCAGCCGCGGUAAUACGUAGGGGGCAAGCGUUAUCCGGAAUUACUGGUGUAAAGGGUACGUAGGCGGCUGAUCAAGUCAGAUGUGAAAGCCCGGGGCUCAACCCCGGGACUGCAUUUGAAACUGGUCGGCUAGAGUGCAGGAGAGGAAAGUGGAAUUCCUAGUGUAGCGGUGAAAUGCGUAGAUAUUAGGAAGAACACCAGUGGCGAAGGCGGCUUUCUGGACUGUAACUGACGCUGAGGUACGAAAGCGUGGGGAGCGAACAGGAUUAGAUACCCGAGUAGUC